UUCUGAUUCGUUAGCACGUUGAAUGCACCAGUUCCCAAUCACUGAAGUUAAGCAAGGUUACGCGUGGUUGGUAUCCGGAUGGGUGACCAAGUGCGUGCUCAUGUCACACACAAA
rfam:Asian citrus Psyllid, Diaphorina citri - Florida Strain, whole genome shotgun sequence.